rnacentral:rRNA from 1 species
UGCCAGCAGCCGCGGUAAUACGGAGGGGGCUAGCGUUGUUCGGAAUUAUUGGGCGUAAAGCGCGUGUAGGCGGUUCGUUAAGUCUGAUGUGAAAGCCCGGGGCUCAACCCCGGAAGUGCAUUGGAAACUGGCGAACUUGAGUACGGGAGAGGAAAGUGGAAUUCCGAGUGUAGGGGUGAAAUCCGUAGAUAUUCGGAGGAACACCAGUGGCGAAGGCGGCUAGCUAGGCAUUAAUUGACGCUGAGGCACGAAAGCGUGGGGAGCGAACAGGAUUAGAUA